rnacentral:rRNA from 1 species
UACGUAGGGUGCAAGCGUUGUCCGGAAUUAUUGGGCGUAAAGAGCUCGUAGGCGGUUUGUCGCGUCGAAUGUGAAAACCCGGGGCUCAACCCCGGGCCUGCAUUCGAUACGGGCAGACUAGAGUUCGGUAGGGGAGUCUGGAAUUCCUGGUGUAGCGGUGAAAUGCGUAGAUAUCGGGAGGAACACCAGUGGCGAAGGCGGGUCUCUGGGCCGAUACUGACGCUGAGGAGCGAAAGCGUGGGGAGCGAACAGG